GAGCCAGUGUGGUGUAGUGGUUAGAGUGCCGGACUAGAACUUGGGAGACUAGAGUUCAGAUCCCUACUCGCUCA